GUAUAUAUAUGUGUGUGUGUGUGUGUGUGUGUGUGUGUGUGUGUGUGUGUGUGUGUGUGAAGUAUUUUGUUUGCAUAAUUUCUUAACCUAAUAAAGAAAAACAAGUUCUGAAUUGUAGAUGGAAGAUCCUCUUCUAGAACGCGAAAACAUAUUUAAACGGGGAAUCAUAUUCAUCGCCAAGUAUGUCAAAUUUGUUUGGAAAGAAGUCUACUCAAGAAUCAUACAUAUCAUACUCGUCACCGCAUAUGCACUGCUAAUUUUUCUGAUUUACUCUAGAUAUGGCUUCUCUAUGAAUAUGUUAGGUGGUACAAUUUCCUUCAUCAUCCUAGGCCUAACUUCAACUUUAGUUGAAGUAUUAUUCAUAUUGUCUAGGCAACCCAUGAUAUAUGUUAACGCAGCUGGACAUUUUACGUUUUUGGUCGGAUUUCUUAUCCUUACCCCUUUCGUGUUCCAAUCCAAUAGUCAUGUGAUUUGGGUGUAUACUCUUGUUGGGAUAUUAUUUGGAUGUUGGUGUAUUUUCUUUCUACUCCUUAUUUUCCUUAUACGCACUUUUCUUGAAGAUGAUUUCUUAUACCAGCCAAUAAUGAUGUAAUUUAGUAUCAACAUUUUAUAUAUAAUGUAUGUUUAAUAUGUUUGUAAGGUUAAUAUAAUAUUAGCUAUAUCAA